ACGGGUGAGAAACGCGUAGGAAUUUGCCUUGUAGAGGGGGACAACCCGAGGAAACUCGGGCUAAUACCGCAUAAUACUCUUCGGAGGAAAGGUUAGGUAGUAAUAUCUGACGCUAUAAGAGAAGCCUGCGUCUGAUUAGCUAGUUGGUAGGGUAAAGGCCUACCAAGGCGAUGAUCGGUAGCUGGUCUGAGAGGAUGAUCAGCCACACUGGGACUGAGACACGGCCCAGACUCCUACGGGAGGCAGCAGUGGGGAAUAUUGGACAAUGGGGGCAACCCUGAUCCAGCAAUGCCGCGUGUGUGAAGAAGGCCUUCGGGUUGUAAAGCACUUUAGAUGGGGAAGAAGGUGUAUUGUUUAAGAGAUGAUACAUUUGACGGUACCCAUAGAAUAAGCACCGGCUAACUCUGUGCCAGCAGCCGCGGUAAUACAGAGGGUGCAAGCGUUAAUCGGAGUUACUGGGCGUAAAGGGCGCGUAGGCGGUCGUGUAAGUUGGAUGUGAAAUCCCUGGGCUUAACCUAGGAACUGCAUUCAAUACUGCAUGGCUAGAGUAUUGUAGAGGGUAGUGGAAUUUCCGGUG
rnacentral:rRNA from 1 species